GCGAGAACUGGCGCUCCCUACGGGAGGAGCAGGAGGAGGAGGAGGAGGGCAGCUGGAGGCUCGGGGCAGGGCCCCGGCGAGACGGCGACCGCUGGCGCUCUGCCAGCCCUGAUGGCGGUCCCCGCUCUGCUGGCUGGCGGGAACAUGGGGAACGGAGGCGCAAGUUUGAAUUUGAUUUGCGAGGGGAUCGAGGAGGGUGUGGUGAAGAGGAGGGGCGGGGAGGGGGAGGCAGCUCUCACCUGCGGCGGUGCCGAGCGCCUGACGGCUUUGAGGAGGACAAGGAUGGGCUCCCAGAGUGGUGCCUGGACGAUGAGGAUGAAGAAAUGGGCACCUUUGAUGCCUCUGGGGCCUUCUUGCCUCUCAAGGUAUCUGUGAGGAGGCGAGGGUGGGAACCUGCCCUUCCGGGGUCCUUUUCCUCCCCACCCACCCAACUGUUCUCUGCUCCCCACCCCGGCCCCAUGCAGAAGGGCCCCAAGGAGCCCAUUCCUGAGGAGCAGGAGCUGGACUUCCAAGGGUUGGAGGAGGAGGAGGAGCCUUCCGAAGGGCUAGAGGAGGAAGGCCCUGAGGCGGGUGGGAAGGAGCUGACCCCACUGCCUCCUCAGGAGGAGAAGUCCAGCUCCCCCUCCCCACUGCCCACCCUGGGCCCGCUCUGGGG
rnacentral:sRNA from 1 species